CGUCGUGAGACAGUUCGGUCUCUAUCUAUCGUGGGCGUAGGAAAUUUGCGAGGCUCUGACACUAGUACGAGAGGACCGUGUUGGACUGACCACUGGUUUACCGGUUGUUCCGCCAGGAGCACUGCCGGGUAGCUAAGUCGGGAUUGGAUAAGUGCUGAAAGCAUCUAAGUACGAAGCCAGCCUCAAGAUUAGAUUUCCUUAUAAGGGUGGUUGUAGACUACGACCUUGAUAGGCUACAGGUGUAAGGGCAGUAAUGUCGAAGCCGAGUAGUACUAAUAGCCCGAAACUUUCAUUU
rnacentral:rRNA from 1 species